GAAGUAAAAUAAAUUUGAAAAUGUCAUAUUGAUGACUGAUAAUGGUUUAAUUUAAUUAUAAACCUUUUUAUGAAACUUAAUUUUUGAUUCCUAUUUUUGAAUGAAGUAUUGAUGCAGCGCAAGAAGAUGACAGUCUUGGAAGACUAGUCAAUGAUGACCACAUCUAUCCAAACUGCAAAAUGAAGAGGGUCAUAGCAGAGGGCAAGCCACAUCUUUGUCUUUUUGCUCUGAGAGACAUUAAGGCUGGAGAAGAAAUAACGUAUGACUAUGGAGGAUCUGAUUGGCCUUGGAGAAAACAGGUUUGUAACUCUUGAAUUGUGUGAUGUAGAUUAGUGAAUGUGCAUAUUUGCUUUCAUGAGGAGAUCGGUGAAGGAUUUGUGUUUCUUUUGUGAGAUUUAUUCUGCUACUGGUUUUUUAAUCUGAGUUUUUUUAAAUCAAAUGACAGUGAUUGCUAAUGCUAAUAAGUUUGAAGGGACAAAUACAGGAAAAAAGCCUUUUCUUCAGUACAGGGACAAUAUACUUAAGCUAAAUAACCAGAAGUGUGUUCUGCCACUCUUCAGCUUUCCUUAUUCUUAAUUACAGUAGUAUAUUAGCAGACAUCUGUGCUAAAUUGAAAAUUUAAUAAUCAAAUAUAACUGACUUUUAGUUGUAUACAGAGACUAUUUAAGUUGCAUCAUCAAUUGCAUGUUUCCUGUAUACAUGUACUUCAUAUUGUGACUGAUUCAUACAAGUGUUAAUGCUGAUAUGCUAAAUACAGAUAUUGAAUUCAUUUGUCAGGCUAAAGUGCAAGAAACUGCAUCUGAUACACUGUCAUCAGAGGAGGUUCCCCAGAGUCCUUCCCCCUCCAAGAUGCAGGCUAAAGUGCAAAAUACUGCAGCUGAUACACUGUCAUCAGAGGAGGUUCCUCAGAGCCCUUCGUUCUCCGAGAUGCAGGCUAAAACACAAGAAACUAGCGCUGAUACACUGUCAUCAGAGGAGGUUCCUCAGAGCCCUUUGUUCUCCGAGAUGCAGGCUAAAACACAAGAAACGGGCGCUGAUACACUGUCAUCAGAGGAGGUACCUCAGAGCCCUUCCCUCUCCCAUAUGCAGAGUUUACAAGAAGCAGGAGUCUUUCAUUCAAUGAAAACUAUAAAAUCAGAACCGCUUGUGAACUACACUGAUUCUGAUGAUGAGAGUCCAUCCAUAAGUCCUGACCAAUUGAAGUCAACAUGCCAGAUGACAAGACAACUAGAUUUGGAUGAGCACUUUGACUUUACAUCCGAUCCUAGUGAAAAUGCACACGAGGACAGUGACAAUGAGGCAGCAAGUGAGUCAGAGCCACAAGAGAAUGUGGAUGAGGACAAUGACAGUGGAGCAGCAUGUGGGUCAGGGUCACAAGAGAGUGUGGAUGUACUUGACGACAGCAUCAAUGGGGCAGCAUGUAAGUCACAAGAGUGUCUGGUUAAAUGUAAUCAGACUGAAGAUGGCAAGGCUACACUGACGGAUGUUAGUGAUUCAGCACCACAUCAAAGUUUCAUGGCUACAACAUAUAAGUCACCAAAACAAAUAGGUUGGCAUAUUAACAAUUUUACUAGCAUUUUUGCUUAAGAAGUAUACUUUUCAUGAAUUCAGAUAUAGUGUUGUCUUCUCCUUGUGCAUUUAUAGUCUUCAAAUGAUUUUUAAUGAAGCAUUUUUCAUAUAUAGACCUAUACACCAAUAUUAAUUUGAGUUGUGUAAUUGUACAGGUCGCCAAGUUUUCAAAAGAAGGAAAUGGGAGAAUGAAGAGGUACAAGCUGUUGAAAGACAUCUGAUGCACUUCAUUACCUCAUGCCGUGUUCCAGGAAAACUUGAAAUUGAUAAGUGUCUUGGGGUUGAAAAUGUGGCGCUGAAAGACAGGGACUGGUUGUCCAUAAAGUUUUAUGUCAAGAACCGUAUAACAGCUUUGAAAAGAAAGGCCUUUGAAACUGGCCUCUGAAACACAGUUCAAUAGUAACUGUUCAAUUGUUUGUCUAAAGCAGCGUUUUUGUUUACAAUGCUGUAACUGAAUAAUUCUUAUAUUUGAAUGACUACCUUUUUUGUUCAUAUUUUUAUAAACAAAUCUUCUAUAUCAGAAUAUGAAUCUGAUCUUUUUUUUUUUUUUACAGAAGUUCAAGGUAAAUACCAGUAACUAAUGUUCAAAUAAAAUUAUGUGGCUUACACA
ensembl:lncRNA